AGGCAGCAGUGGGGGAAUCUUGGACAAUGGGGGCAACCCUGAUCCAGCCAUGCCGCGUGAGUGAAGAAGGCCCUAGGGUCGUAAAACUCUUUCGCCUGUGAUGAUAAUGACAGUAGCAGGUAAAGAAACCCCGGCUAACUCCGUGCCAGCAGCCGCGGUAAUACGGAGGGGGUUAGCGUUGUUCGGAAUUACUGGGCGUAAAGCGCACGUAGGCGGAUUAGAAAGUUAGAGGUGAAAUCCCGGGGCUCAACCCCGGAACUGCCUUUAAAACUACUAGUCUAGAGUUCGAGAGAGGUGAGUGGNAUUCCGAGUGUAUAGGUGAAAUUCUUUUAUAUUCGGAGGAACACCAGUGGCGAAGGCGGCUCACUGGCUCGAUACUGACG
rnacentral:rRNA from 1 species